rnacentral:rRNA from 1 species
AUUGAACGCUGGCGGCAGGCUUAACACAUGCAAGUCGAACGGUAACAGGAAGAAGCUUGCUUCUUUGCUGACGAGUGGCGGACGGGUGAGUAAUGCUUGGGAAUCUGGCUUAUGGAGGGGGAUAACUACUGGAAACGGUAGCUAAUACCGCGUAAUGUCUUAGGACUAAAGGGUGGGACUUUCGGGCCACCUGCCAUAAGAUGAGCCCAAGUGAGAUUAGGUAGUUGGUGAGGUAAUGGCUCACCAAGCCGUCGAUCUCUAGCUGGUCUGAGAGGAUGACCAGCCACACUGGAACUGAGACACGGUCCAG